GUAGGGAAUCUUCCACAAUGGACGAAAGUCUGAUGGAGCAACGCCGCGUGAGUGAAGAAGGGUUUCGGCUCGUAAAACUCUGUUGUUAAAGAAGAACAUAUCUGAGAGUAACUGUUCAGGUAUUGACGGUAUUUAACCAGAAAGCCACGGCUAACUACGUGCCAGCAGCCGCGGUAAUACGUAGGUGGCAAGCGUUGUCCGGAUUUAUUGGGCGUAAAGCGAGCGCAGGCGGUUUUUUAAGUCUGAUGUGAAAGCCUUCGGCUCAACCGAAGAAGUGCAUCGGAAACUGGGAAACUUGAGUGCAGAAGAGGACAGUGGAACUCCAUGUGUAGCGGUGAAAUGCGUAGAUAUAUGGAAGAACACCAGUGGCGAAGGCGGCUGUCUGGUCUGUAACUGACGCUGAGGCUCGAAAGUAUGGGUAGCAAACAGGAUUAGAAACCCUUGUAGUCC
rnacentral:rRNA from 1 species